rnacentral:rRNA from 1 species
AGAGUUUGAUCAUGGCUCAGAUUGAACGCUGGCGGCAUGGCUAAAACAUGCAAGUCGAACGUGUGUAGCAAUACACAAGUGGCGAAAGGGUCAGUAAUGCGAUCGAAUGUACCCUGAGGUGGGGGAUAGCUACGGGAAACUGUAGGUAAUACCCCAUGAUCUCUCCGGAGCAAAGGUUUACCGCCUUGGGAGCAGCGAUCGUCCUAUCAGGUAGUUGGCGGGGUAACGGCCCACCAAGCCGAAGACCGGGUAGCGGGUGUGAGAGCACGGCCCGCGACAUCGGAACUGAGACACUGUCCGGACUUCUACGGAAGGCCUGUCAGUAACGAAUCUUCCGCAAUGGGCGAAACGCCUGACGGGAGCAAUGCCGCGUGUGGGAUGAAGCGUCUCUGACGUGUAAACCACUCGUUCAGGGGUUGGAAACAAUGAUCGACCCCAAAGGAAGUGGCGACUAACUCUGUG